AGAUAUGGAUGAAAACACACUGAUGGAGAAGGGCUGACCCCCUUGAGGCGUUUAUCACGGAAGAAACUGCAGGAUGUGAAACGACCUUUAGUGGAAGACUAGGUGGAUCUGCCCCUGUACUCCCUCCACGGAACUUGAAAGGGGGAUAGAAUAGGCUGAAGGCAUGGUGAGAAGGGAAAAGAUUCGGAAGACUACGGAAAGAAGGGACUUCUAAAUGUCCAUCUGAAACAGUUGUCUAGCUCUAAUGGGUGCCCUAGGAGACCUGCAGGGACCAUGUGGCCCCCUGCCUCCUGAUGCAUAGAGCCAUGGAAAAAUGGAGUCUUUUCUUCUUGUGUGUA